UUUUUUCUUUCCAGGAGAGUUUAUGCUCUGAACAAACGAGGGGUGUUUCCAGAAGAAUUUGUGGCUUUAAGAUAUCUGACCUAUUUGAAAAUUGAUCAGAAUUAUUUCACCGGUCCCCUACCAGCAUUCUUCG